CCGGCGACCGGCGGACGGGUGCGUAACGCGUAUGUAACCUACCUUUGACAGGGGGAUAACAUCGAGAAAUUGGUACUAAUACCCCAUAACAUCACCGGAGGCAUCUUCGGUGGUUGAAAGCUCAGGUGGUCAGAGAUGGACAUGCGUUGUAUUAGCUAGUUGGUGAGGUAACGGCUCACCAAGGCGACGAUACAUAGGGGGACUGAGAGGUCAACCCCCCACAUUGGUACUGAGACACGGACCAAACUCCUACGGGAGGCAGCAG
rnacentral:rRNA from 1 species